rnacentral:rRNA from 1 species
AGUGAACGCUGGCGGUAGGCCUAACACAUGCAAGCCGAACGGCAGCACAGGAGAGCUUGCUCUCUGGGUGGCGAGUGGCGGACGGGUGAGGAAUACAUCGGAAUCUACUCUGUCGUGGGGGAUAACGGAGGGAAACUUACGCUAAUACCGCAUACGACCUACGGGUGAAAGCAGGGGAUCUUCGGACCUUGCGCGAUUGAAUGAGCCGAUGUCGGAUUAGCUAGUUGGCGGGGUAAAGGCCCACCAAGGCGACGGUCCGUAGCUGGUCUGAGAGGAUGAUCAGCCACACUGGAACUGAGACACGGUCCAGACUCCUACGGGAGGCAGCAGUGGGGAAUAUUGGACAAUGGGCGCAAGCCUGAUCCAGCCAUACCGCGUGGGUGAAGAAGGCCUUCGGGUUGUAAAGCCCUUUGUUGGGAAAGAAAUCCAGCUGGCUAAUACCCGGUUGGGAUGACGGUACCCAAAGAAUAAGCACCGGCUAACUUCGUGCCAGCAGCCGCCGUAA